UUUCUCCUCAAAGAAAAAUAACACAUCAGUAUUGCAGUUACUAAACAGAUAAAUCAAUUUCAACAAAAUGGAGACACAACAGAUGAGAAAGGGAAAAACUGGAUUCACACGCUUCAGGAAAAAGAUGAUCAGGUAAAAUCAUUUAAACACACAGUAAAUGCAAGGAUGAAACUUUUCUUCUAAAUGAACU